GACGAACGCUGGCGGCGUGCUUAACACAUGCAAGUCGAACGGAAGGGCCCUGCUUUUGUGGGGUGCUCGAGUGGCGAACGGGUGAGUAACACGUGAGUAACCUACCCUUGACUUUGGGAUAACUUCAGGAAACUGGGGCUAAUACCGGAUAGGAGCUCCUGCUGCAUGGUGGGGGUUGGAAAGUUUCGGCGGUUGGGGAUGGACUCGCGGCUUAUCAGCUUGUUGGUGGGGUAGUGGCUUACCAAGGCUUUGACGGGUAGCCGGCCUGAGAGGGUGACCGGCCACAUUGGGACUGAGAUACGGCCCAGACUCCUACGGGAGGCAGCAGUGGGGAAUAUUGCACAAUGGGCGGAAGCCUGAUGCAGCAACGCCGCGUGCGGGAUGACGGCCUUCGGGUUGUAAACCGCUUUCGCCUGUGACGAAGCGUGAGUGACGGUAAUGGGUAAAGAAGCACCGGCUAACUACGUG
rnacentral:rRNA from 1 species